ACUCAUGCAUGUACCACACUACCACGGCACAGUACAUCACACUGAAAGUUUCAAUGUGUGGACGAAUUUUGUUUGUCUUAAUCUUCCAUCGUCAAAGAUAAGAUCCUACUUCCUAGGGGUUCGAUAUUUUAUCUUUUGGACGAUUUAUCUAUUUUCAAUACUGGUGAUCAGUGACGUAAUUAACUAAGCUCACUUGUUUCCUUUUUUUCUUCUAUAUAAUGCGAUGGCUACUUUGAUCUACCUCACUAAAGAAACAAAAAACAACACAUGGAGCCACAAACAACAAAACAAGAGGUCUUAACCCGAUCUCGAUCGAGCAGCCACGUGGUCCAAGCUUCGUAAUAGAAGACAACCAUCUAGUGAAAUGGGCAAAUUGGGAAUUUCAUCUAAAGCCUGACCCGAGAGCAGGUGUGGUAUUAUCACAAGUUAGAGUACAUGAUCCUGAUACACAAGAGACACGUGAAGUGAUGUACCAAGGGUUCGUAUCGGAGCUUUUUGUUCCGUACAUGGAUCCAUCCGACGCGUGGUACUUCAAGACUUACAUGGACGCAGGUGAAUACGGAUUUCUGACGCGCUCUUCUCCUCAGGCGCACCACACGCGUUCCACUCCAUCGUUCUUGAAGAGCCGGAGAAGAAUCUCGUUAGAGCAUGGGAAAAAGGAAACCCACUUCCUCCGAGAAAAGCUACCGUCAUCGCACGCGUUGGCCCCGACACGCACGUGCUAACCGUUGACCUUUCUUCUGGUCGGGUGGACAUAGUGGAUAGUCCGGUUCCUGUUUCGGGUUACCCGAUGAUGACUCUAGAAGAAAUGAACGAAGUGACGUUCGCACCGUUUUCAAGCGCCGAUGUGAACCGUACGAUUGUUUCUCGUGGAGUUAAUCUGACGGAUGUGUAUUGCUUCCCGUUAUCAAGUGGCUGGUACGGUAGAAAAGAAGAAAAUAAAAGGGUUAUUAAAAGUCAGUGUUACUCAAGCCAAGGUACUGCUAACUUCUACAUGCGACCCAUCGAAGGUUUAACUAUUCUUAUCGAUUUAGAUACAAAGCAAGUGAUCGAGAUAGUUGAUACCGGUCCGAAUAUUCCCAUACCCGGUUCAGCCAAUACUGAAUACCGCUUCAAAAACCUAGGGACCACUGACAAAACAAGAGGUCUUAACCCGAUCUCGAUCGAGCAGCCACGUGGUCCAAGCUUCGUAAUAGAAGACAACCAUCUAGUGAAAUGGGCAAAUUGGGAAUUUCAUCUAAAGCCUGACCCGAGAGCAGGUGUGGUAUUAUCACAAGUUAGAGUACAUGAUCCUGAUACACAAGAGACACGUGAAGUGAUGUACCAAGGGUUCGUAUCGGAGCUUUUUGUUCCGUACAUGGAUCCAUCCGACGCGUGGUACUUCAAGACUUACAUGGACGCAGGUGAAUACGGAUUUGGUUUACAAGCCAUGCCGCUUGUACCGCUUAAUGAUUGUCCACGAAACGCAGCCUAUAUGGACGGAGUUUUCACGACGGCUGAUGGAACGCCGUUUGUGAGAGAGAAUAUGAUUUGUAUCUUCGAGCGUUACGCCGGAGAUAUUGGUUGGCGUCACUCGGAAAGCCCCAUCAGCGGUUUACCGGUUAGUCCAUUUGCUUAGCUGUUUAUAAUUCAAAAUUUACGUAGAAAUAAUUUGUGGUUAUAAUGAUUCAAUUAAAAAAACGAUCUCGAUCGAGCAGCCACGUGGUCCAAGCUUCGUAAUAGAAGACAACCAUCUAGUGAAAUGGGCAAAUUGGGAAUUUCAUCUAAAGCCUGACUCGAGAGCAGGUGUGGUAUUAUCACAAGUUAGAGUACAUGAUCCUGAUACACAAGAGACACGUGAAGUGAUGUACCAAGGGUUCGUGUCGGAGCUUUUUGUUCCGUACAUGGAUCCAUCCGACGCGUGGUACUUCAAGACUUACAUGGACGCAGGUGAAUACGGGUUCGGUUUACAAGCCAUGCCGCUUGUACCGCUUAAUGAUUGUCCACGAAACGCAGCCUAUAUGGACGGAGUUUUCACGACGGCUGAUGGAACGCCAUUUGUGAGAGAGAAUAUGAUUUGUAUCUUCGAGCGUUACGCCGGAGAUAUUGGUUGGCGUCACUCGGAAAGCCCCAUCAGCGGUUUACCGGUUAGUCCAUUUGCUUAUCUGUUUAUAAUUCAAAAUUUACGUAGAAAUAAUUUAUGGUUAUAAUAAUUCAAUUAAAAAACCUUGAUGGUGUUACUUACACUUAAGAUAAGUUACAUUUUGAUUAAAUAGAUAAAGGAAGUGAGACCAAAGGUGACGUUAGUGGUACGAAUGGCAGCUUCGGUAGGUAACUAUGAUUACAUCAUUGAUUAUGAGUUCCAAACUGAUGGGCUAAUCAAAGCUAAGGUACUAUAAUUUCUACUUUACAAUAUCUUCCAAAAAUAAAGAUUUUUUUUAAGUUCCGUGGAACAAUGAAUAUUCGUUUUUGUCACAAACCACACAAAUGUAUGGACAAUGACUAGGUGGGACUUAGUGGAAUUCUAAUGGUGAAAGGGACAUCAUAUCAAAACAAAAAUCAAGUGAAUAAAGAUAAAGAAGGUAACGAAGAAGAGCUUCACGGCACGCUUCUGGCUGAAAAUAUAAUAGGAGUAAUUCAUGAUCACUAUGUCACUUUCUACCUUGACCUCGACGUCGAUGGCCCGGACAAUUCAUUUCUCAAAGUGAACCUCAAGAGGCAGAUGACUGAGCCAGGCGAGUCUCCAAGGAAGAGUUACAUGAAAGCGGUUAAGAACAUUGUGAAAACCGAAAAGGACGCUCAGAUCAAACUUAGUUUGUACGAUCCAUCUGAAUUCCACGUUGUCAAUUCUGCUAAAACCACCCGGGUCGGUAACCCCACGGGUUACAAGAUCGUCCCUAGAGCCACGGCGGCUAGUUUGCUUGACCAUGAUGAUCCUCCGCAGAAGAGAGCAGCUUUUACCAAUAAUCAAAUUUGGGUGACACCGUAUAAUAAGACCGAGAAAUGGGCUGCCGGUUUGUUCACUUACCAAAGCCAUGGAGAUGAUACUCUUGCAGUUUGGUCAGACAGGUAAAUUAAAUGAAAGUUUUAAUUAUUCAUCAUAUAGUUAAGAUUUGAUUGUUUUGUUUAAUUUAAUAUUGGUGCUAUGCAGGGAUAGAGACAUAGAGAACACGGAUAUAGUUGUGUGGUACACACUCGGAUUCCAUCACGUUCCAUGUCAAGAAGACUUUCCAAUAAUGCCUACAGUUUCUUCGAGUUUUGAUUUGAAACCCGCAAAUUUCUUCGAGCGCAAUCCAAUCCUUAGGGCCGCCCCAAACUUCGAACAUGAUCUCCCGGUUUGUGAAGUUAAAUAUGUAUCUGCUUGAAAUGAGUGAAGUACGGAAUAAAACUUAUAGAUUUUUCCUUCUGUAUUUUCGUGGUGCUUUAAUUAGUCAAAACAAUGUUUGUUGCGAGAUGUAAACUGGAAACCGGAUGUAUUAUAUGCAAAUGUAUAUGUGUGUGACCUUUUACUAUUAAAGUAAAGAUUUUAAUAAUUGUUGAUAUACUUUUAAAUUUAAUUUUCUAUGGGACCUUGUCUCUUUUGAUAUUUUGAAUUGCUGAAAUGACAAUAUUUUGUAAAAAAAUUAACAUUCUCAAAAUACCUGUUUGUUGCUUUUAACGUUUUUGGUAAUGGUUGUAUCAGAAAAACUUUAACCCAACCGAUAAUUUUUAAAUCAAACACGAAAGACAACUCCGACUAUUAUGCCAAAUUUGGUGUUUUCAAUGCUAAAUUUGAUGUUUUGGUGUUAUAUUUUAUUUUCUAUUUUCAAUCGUUACACCAAAUUUUCACAUUAGAAAUACUAUUAUUUAUUAUUUAAAUUUUAAUUUUUUUUAAUUUGGUUUUGUUCGAGAUCGCUUGAAUAAUAGAGUAAAUGAAUGGAAUUUCAAAGUUUUUACUAAGGGAAGAAAGAAUGUGAUAAUAAAAUAUGUGGUAACGGUUUUACCAAACCAUGUAAUGUCCUGCUUCCGCAUACCAAAAACGGUGAUGAAGAAGCUAACAAGUCUAGUGGCACAAUUUAUUUAUUUAUUGUACCACACAGAGGUUUAUGACAAGGAGAUCUGUUGUCCCCUUAUUUAUUUAUUUUGUGUACUGAGGCAUUGAUUGUAAAUAUCAGGAAGGUGGAGAGAGGGAAUCAAUUAAAUAUGUAUCUACUUGAAACAAAUGGGCCUUGAUCAUAUUUCAUGUUAAAACAAUCUACGACAAAGCCCGUCUAACGAUCCACCAUAGUUUAUACACUUUUCACUCAUGCAUGUACCACACUACCACGGCACAGUACAUCACACUGAAAGUUUCAAUGUGUGGACGAAUUUUGUUUGUCUUAAUCUUCCAUCGUCAAAGAUAAGAUUCUACUUCCUAGGGGUUCGAUAUUUUAUCUUUUGGACGAUUUGUCUAUUUUCAAUACUGGUGAUCAGUGACGUAAUUAACUAAGCCACUUGUUUCCUUUUUUUCUUCUAUAUAAUGUGAUGGCUGGCUACUUUGAUCUACCUCACUAAAGAAACAAAAAACAACACAUGGAGCCAAAAACUUUCUUCCGUUUGAUUUUUCUCAGUCACCGCCGGUUUCAUCAUCU
rnacentral:lncRNA from 1 species